rnacentral:sRNA from 1 species
AUAUCUCUCCGUACGGGAAGGAUGAGAAGCUUCGACUAAGGUUCGAUUCGAGCGAAAGCGAGAAAGCGUUGCCAACGGCA